rnacentral:rRNA from 1 species
GGGGAAUAUUGCGCAAUGGGGGAAACCCUGACGCAGCAAUACCGCGUGAGUGAAGAAGGUUUUCGGAUCGUAAAGCUCUGUUAUUGGGGAAGAAAAAAAGACGGUACCCAAGAAGAAAGUCCCGGCUAACUACGUGCCAGCAGCCGCGGUAAUACGUAGGGGACAAGCGUUGUCCGGAUUUACUGGGCGUAAAGGGCACGCAGGCGGUUUGGUAAGUCAGGGGUGAAAUCCCGCGGCUCAACCGCGGAAUUGCCCUUGAUACUGCUGGACUUGAGUUCGGGAGAGGGUGGCGGAAUUCCAGGUGUAGGAGUGAAAUCCGUAGAUAUCUGGAGGAACAUCAGUGGCGAAGGCGGCCACCUGGACCGAUACUGACGCUGAGGUGCGAAAGCGUGGGGAGCAAACA